rnacentral:rRNA from 1 species
GACGAACGCUGGCGGCGUGCUUAACACAUGCAAGUCGAACGGUGAGGAGGAGCUUGCUCCUCCGAUCAGUGGCGAACGGGUGAGUAACACGUGAGUAACCUGCCCCAGACCCUGGGAUAACAGUUGGAAACAGCUGCUAAUACCGGAUACGAGACGGAGAGGCAUCUCUACCGUCUGGAAAGAUUUAUCGGUCUGGGAUGGACUCGCGGCCUAUCAGCUUGUUGGUGAGGUAAAGGCUCACCAAGGCGACGACGGGUAGCCGGCCUGAGAGGGCGACCGGCCACACUGGGACUGAGACACGGCCCAGACUCCUACGGGAGGCAGCAGUGGGGAAUAUUGCACAAUGGGCGAAAGCCUGAUGCAGCGACGCCGCGUGAGGGAUGACGGCCUUCGGUUGUAACCUACUGUCAGUAGGGAAGAGGAACGGACGGUACCGUACUCGAGGAAGGCAUCGGCUUACUACGUGCCAGCAGCCGCGGUAAGUCAUACUCGUA